AUUGAACGCUGGCGGCAGGCCUAACACAUGCAAGUCGAACGAGUGGCGGACGGGUGAGUAAUGUCUGGGAAACUGCCUGAUGGAGGGGGAUAACUACUGGAAACGGUAGCUAAUCCCGCAUACCAUCAGAUGUGCCCUGAUGGGAUGAGCUAGUUGGUGGGGCAACGGCUCACCAAGGCGACGAUCCCUAGCUGGUCUGAGAGGAUGACCAGCAGCACUGAAACGGAGAAACGGUCCAGACUCCUACGGGAGGCAGCAGUGGGGAAUAUUGCACAAUGGGCGCAAGCCUGAUGCAGCCAUGCCGCGUGUAUGAAGAAGGCCUUCGGGUUUGAAAGUACUGUCAGUGGGGAGGCGUUACCCGCAGAAGAAGCACCGGCUAACUCCGUGCCAGCAGCCGCGGUAAUAC
rnacentral:rRNA from 1 species